GAGAGAAGGAUUCUAGGAAUCGAUAUUCAGAUGCAGGUUUCAAACUGCCUAUUGGUGCUGCAGUCAGAAACUGUGGUAUUGAGCGUAAUUAAAAAAGGUUGAUGAAUCAAUCAAGU
rfam:[Clostridium] straminisolvens JCM 21531 DNA, contig: contig00011.